AUUAGAUUACAAGUACUUCCCCUGUUUCAGAUAUUUUUUCGAGAGUACCUGAAAGAAGAUCUCACACCAAGCAGAGUACUUCCAUGUCUUUCCCCAGAAGUGAUAGAAAGAUCAAAAAACUGAAAACAACAAUCAACUCCUUGCGAUACAAAAUAUAUGGUAUAUUGAAUAUUUGUUCAUAUAUAUUUCUGCUAAAAAUUGUACAAAUUCUAUUGAUUCAAAAAAAUGUAUUGCAUGGAAAUAUCAACUUUCGUUUCGUCCUGAGCUCUCGUAUGAGGGAGUUACUUCAUGCGAAGCCCCGGUAGAUAUUUUUUAUAUUAUUUUUCGCGCAUCUCUGCACGGGUCAUAUGCAACAUAUGGGGCUGGACAGAAGAGGACAAUCGCGAUUAAAAACUCGAAGUGAAAAGAUACAUACAGAAAUCGCCGCUUAAACUUUGAAUACAAAUUCUCGUCGCAAAUAUUGCUAAUUCGCGUAUAUACUCUAGAAAACUGUUAUUUUCGCUCUUGAGAAAUUGGUGCGCCGCAAAGAGGACGUUUGAGGUGACCGGGAGUGUCGGCUGUUUUUGGACUCGUGGCGAACAGAAGACUGAUAAUUAUUCGGUUCAAAACUUGGGUCAACAACAACAAGGGUCACUUCCUCUCAACAUCGUAUGAUGGAGGCAGCAGAACUGAGAAUAGUUCGAAGAAUAACAGGAAAAUAUCUAUACGAUAGGCAGAGAAGCGAAGCCUUCAACAGAAUAUGCCAGAUCAACAACAUCAACUAUUGUGCACUGGGCAGAAAUGUUCAGUGGAAUAAUCAUCACUCGAAUAGCAAAGAAUAGUUAAGAUCGCUAAGCUACAAAAGGGAGUUACAGUGAAGAACAAGACUUGUGCAUAUUUGAACGCUGGAUGAAGAAGAUAUACAUUUGAAAAUUAUAACUCUCUCAUGUAUGUGGGUGAGUUGAUGUAUUCUAAGUUUCAAUUGGAUCCUUUUUCAUUUGUUCUAUGAAAUGGGUGUUCAAUAGAUCCUUCGAAAAAUCAAGAGAUUUAGAAUGUGUUAGAAAUCACAUAAUUAAUUCUCAUCUACUAGGUACUAUAUUCGCGACACGAGGAAUUUUUAAAUUAUGGGUUUUCCGCUGAAUUUCUGAUCGAAGUUCUCUACAUAAGAUAUUGUUUCAUUGAUGAAUAAUAGAAUGCGAUCACA